rnacentral:lncRNA from 1 species
AUGAUACUACAAAGGUUCUCCUUUGAACUCUCUCCAUCAUAUACACAUGCUCCAUUUGCAGUAGUGACUAUUCAUCCUCAGUAUGGUGCUCCUCUGCUUAUGCGCAAACUCUAAUAUGAUAUUUUACACCAUUGGUGUUGUAUGUUGACAUUAUCAAAAUUUAUUGGUCAACUAUUCAUAGGUCUUCUCUGAUGAGCCUCAUUUGGCCUCUUGGUGGAGCAGAAGUUUCUUCUUAAAGUUGUGUAGAACAUAUAUAUAUAUAUUUCUAUUGCACGUCUAUGUUCAUUUUGGUUUGUCCAUAUGUAAGAAUCAACCAAAAUAAACUACUGCUAUGUUUCUAAAGUGUUCUGUACUUUCUUAUUUUCUUUGGCCUGUAUAUACUUACCUCUUCAUUUGUGUCUUAACCUCUAUAUACCAUGAAACAUACUUGAUAGUUUGAGACAUAAAUAGACAUCUUAAUCUGGCGUCAGUUGAAAUUUAACACUCCCAAGUUUGACGAUGCAUAUCUAGAUAC